GGGGAUUUAGCUCAGUGGCAUAAGCACCUGCCUUGCAAGCAUGUGGUCGUGAGUUCAAUCCCUG
rfam:Cavia porcellus supercont2_0 genomic scaffold, whole genome shotgun sequence.